CCUACGGGUGGCAGCAGUGAGGAAUAUUGGUCAAUGGACGCAAGUCUGAACCAGCCAUGCCGCGUGCAGGAAGACGGCUCUAUGAGUUGUAAACUGCUUUUGUACGAGGGUAAACUCAGAUACGUGUAUCUGUCUGAAAGUAUCGUACGAAUAAGGAUCGGCUAACUCCGUGCCAGCAGCCGCGGUAAUACGGAGGAUUCAAGCGUUAUCCGGAUUUAUUGGGUUUAAAGGGUGCGUAGGCGGUCGGAUAAGUUAGAGGUGAAAUCCCGAGGCUCAACUUCGGAAUUGCCUCUGAUACUGUUAGGCUAGAGAGUAGUAGCGGUAGGCGGAAUGUAUGGUGUAGCGGUGAAAUGCUUAGAGAUCAUACAGAACACCGAUUGCGAAGGCAGCUUACCAAGCUACGUCUGACGUUGAGGCACGAAAGCGUGGGGAGCAAACAGGAUUAGAUACCCCAGUAGUC
rnacentral:rRNA from 1 species